ACCCGCACAAGCGGUGGAUGAUGUGGAUUAAUUCGAUGCAACGCGAAAACCUUACCUACCCUUGACAUGUCCGGAAUCCCGAAGAGAUUUGGGAGUGCUCGCAAGAGAACCGGAACACAGGUGCUGCAUGGCUGUCGUCAGCUCGUGUCGUGAGAUGUUGGGUUAAGUCCCGCAACGAGCGCAACCCUUGUCAUUAGUUGCCAUCAUUUGGUUGGGCACUCUAAUGAGACUGCCGGUGACAAACCGGAGGAAGGUGGGGAUGACGUCAAGUCCUCAUGGCCCUUAUGGGUAGGGCUUCACACGUCAUACAAUGGUCGGUACAGGAGGGUUGCCAACCCGCGAGGGGGAGCUAAUCCCACAAAGCCGAUCGUAGUCCGGAUCGCAGUCUGCAACUCGACUGCGUGAAGUCGGAAUCGCUAGUAAUCGUGGAUCAGCAUGUCACGGUGAAUACGUUCCCGGGUCUU
rnacentral:rRNA from 1 species